UGAGGAAUCUUCCGCAAUGGGCGCAAGCCUGACGGAGCAACGCCGCGUGCAGGAUGACGGCCUUCGGGUUGUAAACUGCUUUUAUUUGGGAAGAUUAUGACGGUACCAAAUGAAUAAGGAUCGGCUAACUACGUGCCAGCAGCCGCGGUAAUACGUAGGAUCCAAGCGUUAUCCGGAUUUACUGGGCGUAAAGCGUGUGUAGGCGGCGUGUUAAGUGGGAUGUGAAAUCGUGUGGCUCAACCAUAUCGACUGUAUCCUAUACUGGCACGCUAGAGGACGGCAGAGGCUAGUGGAAUUUACGGUGUAGCAGUGAAAUGCGUAGAUAUCGUAAGGAACACCAAUGGCGAAGGCAGCUAGCUGGGCCGUCCCUGACGCUGAGACACGAAAGCGUGGGGAGCGAACAGGAUUAGAUACCCGCGUAGUCC
rnacentral:rRNA from 1 species